UGUUAUCUUAUACUUUCCAUUCAAAAAAUGUCCAGUAUUUUUAUUACCCUAUAGGAGCAGAUUAUAGUUGUUUGCUAUAUAAUGGAGGGCUAGAGGAACAGUCUGCUAAUCAAACACCUUUGAGUCACAAAAGCCAAAUAAAUGUACCAAUGAAUCACAAUCAUAGUACUUUUCCAACUAAACUAAUAAUCAAAAUACCACACUCUUUAUUUAAAACAUCAAACAAAAUAUAUAGUUCCCCACUACAUUUGGGAUAUGAAAUAACAGAUGCUCACAAACAUGAAGUGCAAGCGUUAUAUAAUGAUUGUAAGAAGUAUGAUAAAUUAUAUUUUUCUAUAAAACUAGAUAACAUUAUUUUAUAUAACACUUUUAGAAUAAUUGAGAGCCCAAUGA